UCACUCCUCAAGCCCUCGGCUUGGUGUUGGACGGUUUGGUGGAGGCCCCCUCGGGGGCUCCUGCCCCUCCCAAAGACAAUGACGGCGGCCUCGUUGGACCCCCGGUACACUGAGUUCUUCACGGGACACGUAUCGGACACAUGGGUUUACGGGACACGGUCUGCCUCCCCUCAGGGAAAUCUUUCUAA
rnacentral:misc_RNA from 1 species